rnacentral:rRNA from 1 species
AUUGAACGCUGGCGGCAGGCCUAACACAUGCAAGUCGAACGGUAACAUAAAGCAGCUUGCUGCUUUGCUGACGAGUGGCGGACGGGUGAGUAAUGUCUGGGAAACUGCCUGAUGGAGGGGGAUAACUACUGGAAACGGUAGCUAAUACCGCAUAACGUCGCAAGACCAAAGAGGGGGACCUUCGGGCCUCUUGCCAUCGGAUGUGCCCAGAUGGGAUUAGCUUGUUGGUGGGGUAACGGCUCACCAAGGCGACGAUCCCUAGCUGGUCUGAGAGGAUGACCAGCCACACUGGAACUGAGACACGGUCCAGACUCCUACGGGAGGCAGCAGUGGGGAAUAUUGCACAAUGGGCGCAAGCCUGAUGCAGCCAUGCCGCGUGUAUGAAGAAGGCCUUCGGGUUGUAAAGUACUUUCAGCGGGGAGGAAGGGAGUAAAGUUAAUACCUUUGCUCAUUGACGUUACCCGCAGAAGAAGCACCGGCUAACUCCGUG